rnacentral:rRNA from 1 species
UGAGGAAUAUUGGUCAAUGGGCUAUGGCCUGAACCAGCCAAGUAGCGUGAAGGAUGACUGCCCUAUGGGUUGUAAACUUCUUUUAUAAAGGAAUAAAGUCGGGUAUGCAUACCCGUUUGCAUGUACUUUAUGAAUAAGGAUCGGCUAACUCCGUGCCAGCAGCCGCGGUAAUACGGAGGAUCCGAGCGUUAUCCGGAUUUAUUGGGUUUAAAGGGAGCGUAGAUGGAUGUUUAAGUCAGUUGUGAAAGUUUGCGGCUCAACCGUAAAAUUGCAGUUGAUACUGGAUGUCUUGAGUGCAGUUGAGGCAGGCGGAAUUCGUAGUGUAGCGGUGAAAUGCUUAGAUAUCACGAAGAACUCCGAUUGCGAAGGCAGCCUGCUAAGCUGCAACUGACAGUGAGGCUCGAAAGUGUGGGUAUCAAACAGG